CAGCCGUAAACAAUGUGCGUUAGGUGUGUCGGUAACCACGCGUUACUGAUGCGCCGAAGAGAAAUCGUGAAACGCACCACCUGGGAAGUACGGUCGCAAGGCUGAAACUUAAAGGAAUUGGCGGGGGAGCACCACAACAGGUGGAGUCUGCGGUUUAAUUGGAUUCAACGCCGGACAUCUCACCGGAUAAGACAGCUGAAUGAUUGUCAAUCUGAAGGUUUUACAUGACUAGCUGAGAGGUGGUGCAUGGCGUCAGUGACU
rnacentral:rRNA from 1 species